rnacentral:rRNA from 1 species
CAAUCCAUGAGUAAAGUGGCGCACGGGUGAGUAACACGUGACUAACCUACCCUUGAGUGGGGGAUAACCUAGAGAAAUCUGGGCUAAUACCGCAUAAUACCUUCGGGUCAAAGGAGCAAUUCGCUUAAGGAGGGGGUCGCGGCCGAUUAGUUAGUUGGCGGGGUAAUGGCCCACCAAGACUGUGAUCGGUAUCCGGCCUGAGAGGGCGCACGGCCACACUGGAACUGAAACACGGUCCAG